GUGAAUAACAAGACGGAAAAAGGAUCCUCGAAAUUGCUCAACAUCUAGCAAUCAACAGCACCAUGCUUCACUGCAUUACCAAUAAAUGCAUUUAUUCUACGCUGUGCCAUUCAACUAUGGUGUAAAAUACUUCAUGAACACACGGAGGAAAUCAUCACACGAAGAAGUGCCGGUACAGAAGGAAAAAGGCCCCCGAAAGAGUGAUAAAUUAGUCGAUGAAGUGAAGAUUAUUAUUAUAAUGCGUUGUAAAUUGCUUAUUGUUACGUUAAAUGUUAAAAUAUAUCCCUUUUUUGAAACGA